rnacentral:rRNA from 1 species
UUUUUAUGGAGAGUUUGAUCCUGGCUCAGGAUGAACGCUGGCGGCGUGCCUAAUACAUGCAAGUCGAGCGAACAGACGAGGAGCUUGCUUCUCUGACGUUAGCGGCGGACGGGUGAGUAACACGUGGAUAACCUACCUAUAAGACUGGGAUAACUUCGGGAAACCGGAGCUAAUACCGGAUAAUAUAUUGAACCGCAUGGUUCAAUAGUGAAAGACGGUUUUGCUGUCACUUAUAGAUGGAUCCGCGCCGCAUUAGCUAGUUGGUAAGGUAACGGCUUACCAAGGC